rnacentral:rRNA from 1 species
CCUACGGGUGGCAGCAGUGAGGAAUAUUGGUCAAUGGACGCAAGUCUGAACCAGCCAUGCCGCGUGCAGGAAGACGGCUCUAUGAGUUGUAAACUGCUUUUGUACGAGGGUAAACGCAGAUACGCGUACCUGUCUGAAAGUACCCUACGAAUAAGGAUCGGCUAACUCCGUGCCAGCAGCCGCGGUAAUACGGAGGAUUCAAGCGUUAUCCGGAUUUAUUGGGUUUAAAGGGUGCGUAGGGGGGCGGUUAAGUUCGGGGUAAAACCCCGGGGCUCAACUUCGGAAUUGCCUCUGAUACUGUUCGUCUGAGGAGUGGUUACGGUAGGCGAACUUUAUGGUG